AGGAACCUGUCUGGUAAGCGAUAACCCACGUUGGAUCUUACCUGCUUAAGGUUUGUAUACCGUUAUCUGAAUACUUUUGAUAGAAAGUUAUUAAAAUUAAUUUAUUUAAUCAGUAUACUAGACCCAGGUGCAGCUUUGGCAGGGCAAGGUGGGUUACAAUUUGCAAAUAACUGGAAAGCCGAAAGAAAGAGGUUGGAAAUUGGAUUUGAAAGUAAUUUGAUUUUAAUAAGAUCAGAUGAGUUGAAUUUUAGGCAUGUACACAUCGCCCG
rnacentral:rRNA from 1 species